rnacentral:rRNA from 1 species
CCCUUAGAUGUUCUGGGCCGCACACGCGCUACACUGAAGGAGGCAGCGUGUACUCCUGGAUCGAAAGAUUUGGGUAACCCGCGAAUCUCCUUCGUGCUAGGGAUUGAGGUUUGCAAUUAUCCUUCAUGAACGAGGAAUUCCCAGUAAGUGCAAGUCAUAAGCUUGCGCUGACUACGUCCCUGCCCUUUGUACACACCGCCCGUCGCUACUACCGAUUGAAUGGUUUAGUGAGAACUCGGGACUGGCACUAAGGGGCUGGCAACAGCCUAUUAGAGCCGGGAACUUGCUCAAACUUGAUCAUUUAGAGGAAGUAAAANUCGUANCA